AUGAAAACAAGGCCCAAUGAGAGAUUACUAGAAAAUAGUUUUGUGUGCGUGUGUGCACGCUUGUUUGCACUCGUGUAUGUAUGGUGUUUGUGUGCACGUGGGUAUGUACUGUAUGUGUGUGGGUGUGUACAGUGUGUGUGGUGUGGGUGUGUGUACAGUAUGUGUGGUGUGUGGGUGCACGUGGGUGUGUAUAGUAUGUGUGGUGUGUGGGUGCACGUGGGUGUGUACAGUAUGUGUGGUGUGUGGGUGUGGACAGUAUGUGUGGUGUGUGUACAGUAUGUGUGGUGUGUGGGUGUGUACAGUAUGUGUGGGUGUGUGUACAGUAUGUGUGGUGUGUGGGUGUGUACUGUAUGUGUGGUGUGUGUACAGUAUGUGUGGUGUGUGUACAGUAUGUGUGGUGUGUGUGUGUGUGUACAGUGUGUGUGGUGUGUGUACAGUAUGUGUGGUGUGUGGGUGUGUACAGUAUGUGUGGGUGUGUGUACAGUAUGUGUGGUGUGUGGGUGUGUACUGUAUGUGUGGUGUGUGUACAGUAUGUGUGGUGUGUGUACAAUAUGUGUGGUGUGUGGGUGUGUACAAUGUGUGGGGUGUGUACAGUAUGUGUGGUGUGUGGGUGUGUACAGUAUGUGUGGGUGUGUACAGUAUGUGUGGUGUGUGGGUGUGUACAGUAUGUGUGGGUGUGUGGGUGUGUACAUUAUGUGUGGUGUGUGGUGUGUGUACAGUAUGUGUGGUGUGUGGGUGUGUACAGUAUGUGUAGUGUGUGGGUGUGUACAGUAUAUGUGGUGUGUGUACAGUAUGUGUGGUGUGUGGGUGUGUACAGUAUGUGUGGUGUGUGUGUACAGUAUUUGUGGUGUGUGGGUGUGUACAGUAUGUGAGGUGUGUGUACAGUAUGUGUGGUGUGUGUACAGUAUGUGUGGUGUGUGGGUGUGUACAGUAUGUGUGGUGUGUGGGUGUGUACAGUAUAUGUGGUGUGUGUACAGUAUGUGUGGUGUGUGGGUGUGUACAGUAUGUGUGGUGUGUGUACAGUAUGUGUGGUGUGUGUACAGUAUGUGUGGUGUGUGGGUGUGUACAGUAUGUGUGGUGUUUGGGUGUGUACAGUAUAUGUGGUAUGUGUACAGUAUGUGUGGUGUGUGGGUGUGUACAGUAUGUGUGGUGUGUGUACAGUAUGUGUGGUGUGUGGGUGUGUACAGUGUGUGUGGGUGUGUACAUUAUGUGUGGUGUGUGUACAGUAUGUGUGGUGUGUGGGUGUGUACAGUAUGUGUAGUGUGUGGGUGUGUACAGUAUAUGUGGUGUGUGUACAGUAUGUGUGGUGUGUGGGUGUGUACAGUAUGUGUGGUGUGUGGGUGUGUACAGUAUGUGUGGUGUGUGGGUGUGUACAGUAUGUGA
rnacentral:lncRNA from 1 species